rnacentral:rRNA from 1 species
UACGUAGGGGGCAAGCGUUGUCCGGAUUCAUUGGGCGUAAAGAGCGUGUAGGCGGCCAGGUAGGUCGGGUGUGAAAACUCUAGGCUCAACCUGGAGACGCCACCCGAUACUGCGAUGACUAGAGUCCGGUAGGGGAGUGUGGAAUUCCUGGUGUAGCGGUGAAAUGCGCAGAUAUCAGGAGGAACACCAACGGCGAAGGCAGCACUCUGGGCCGGAACUGACGCUGAGGAGCGAAAGCGUGGGUAGCGAACAGG